GAUGAAGAACGUAGCGAAAUGCGAUAAGUAAUGCGAAUUGCAGAAUUCAGUGAGUCAUCGAAUCUUUGAACGCACAUUGUGCCCUGUGGUAUUCCGCAGGGCAUGCCUGUUCGAGCGUCAUUUCAACCCUCAAGCCCCGCUUGGUGUUGGGCCCCGCCCGCUGUGGCCGGCCCUAAAGACAGUGGCGGCGCCGCCUGGCCCUCAGCGUAGUACAUCUCUCGCUCCAGGGUCCGGUGGCCGCCUGCCAGAACCCCCCAACUCUGUGGUUGACCUCGGAUCAGGUAGGGAUACCCGCUGAACUUAAGCAUAUCAAUAAGCGGAGGA
rnacentral:misc_RNA from 1 species